CCCAAUAUAUUAUAUAAGCUCAAUAUAUAAAAAUUAGUGUACUUAUAAUUAUUCUUAUAAUGAGUUUAAAAGAAUUACGAAAACUAAAAAAUAUUUGAAAAAAAUUAAAAUUAAAAUUAGAAGUUAGCGAAAAAUUAAAAAUUUAAACAAAGAAAUGUCUAAUGUCUGCCUUCUCUGGCACGUCUCUGUCUACUCUCUCUGGCAGGUUUUAGGUUUUCUUGUUUUUAUGUCUAUUGGUUUAGCGCCGACAGUAAGUCCUUUUGUUUUCUCUUUUAGUUUGUGAUUUGGCUUUUAAAUCGCAUCUGUUUUCAAUCAUGGAGUCAGAGUUUGCUGGGUUAACGAUCAAUGAGGAGGAAGAAGAAAUUUUACAGUUUCAAUUUGAACCAAAAACAUUAACAGAGGUUGGGACUUUUCAAUUAGUGGGAUGUUUUUUAACUGCCAACAUUAUCCAUUUUCCAGCGAUGAAAACUACAAUGGCAAAUCUCUGGCAUCCGGUUCAGGGGUACAAAUUUGAGAUCUAGGAGGGAAAAGGUAUUUAUUUCAAUUUUUAUGAUGUUAUGAAUAUGGAGAGGGUGCUAAAGGGAUCCCUGUGGACUUUCAAUAAUCAUUUGUUGCUAUUAUACAAGUUGCAGUUGACGUAGGAUCCAUUAAUAGUUCCUUUAACCUAUACUCUAUUUUGGGUACAGAUUCAUGAUAUUCCUGCAGGUUUUUUCUCUGAAAGGCUGGCAAUACAAUUAGGGGUACUUUUAUGGAAUAUGAUGGUUCAAAUAUGGGAAAGAAAAUCGAAAUUUUAUGAGAAUAAGAGUCCAAAUUGACAUAAGACGCCCACUAAAAAGGAAGAAGCAGAUUUUAUUUUUUGGUAAUUGUUCAUAUGUCAGAUUUAAAUAAUACCGGUGACUGCCAAGAGGCAAGCCGACCGGUCACAAUGAAAAUCUUAAGUUGAAACGUCCGGGGUCAAUGGAACCCACGAACAGUUCAUAGACUUCGACAUUGGCUGAGGUUAUAUAAUCCACAUAUGGUCUUUUUUAUGGAGACAAAAAUAAAUAGGAGGAGAAUGGGACGGGUUCGAAGAUGUGGUGAUCUCGAGUGGAUUAUGUUUGGCUUGGGCGUGGGGAUACUAAUGUCAGGAUCCAAAGCUAUUCAAAAAGUCAUAUUGAUGUGGAAAUUGAGGAUACAGAGGAAGGUAAAAAAUGGAGAUUUACUGGUUUUUAUGGCUCUCCCUAUUCGAAUAAAGAAGAAUCAUGAAAUCUGAUGAUUUGUGGUGAUUUCAAUGAAAUUUUGUAUGGCUUCAAAAAACAGGGAGGCUUACCUCGAGAGGAGGGGAGAAUGGAAGCAUUUAGAACAGUCUUAGAGGAUUGCGACCUAAGGGACAUGAGAUUUUCUGGAAGAUGGUUUACUUGGGAAAUCUGCCAGAAACAAAUAUUCAAGAACGUUUAGAUAGGGGAGUGGCUAUGGAAGAAUGGUUAUCUUUAUUCCCGGAAUUUCAAAUUCAACACAUAUCUCAUUCUUUUUCAGAUCAUUGCCCGUUGUUAAUCACCACCAAACAGGAGGAAUAGAGAAGAAUUAAUGGAAGUUUUAAAUUUGAAGCAUUGUGGGUUUUGGAGGAGAGUUUUACUUCUGAGGUUAAAAGUAUCUGAGAGAAUGCUGUUGGUGAUUUAUUGAGUAAGAUGGAAAGUCUCAAGAGAGGUCUUAAGAAAUGGGUUGACAAGAUUCAACAUAAUAAGAAAGGGAGGAAAGUGGCGCUAACUUCAAACAGGAAAGGGAGGAAAGUAUCUAGGGAAAUUAUGAUAAUAUUUUGGCAAGAAUUGAGCAACGCAUUUCGAUGAGAAUAAUUCAAAACUGAAGGCUAGAUACACCAAAGAAGAGAUCCGUGAGGCACUAGAAGAAUUAGGCCCAACAAAAGCACUAGUGAUGGAUGGAUUUCCGGCAUUAUUCUACCAAAAAUGUUGGCCAACUAUCAAAGAAGAAGUUACAUAAUUCUGUCUUAAUCUACUGAAUGGAGGUAUGAAUAUCAGUUCAAUAAACAAAACUAAUAUAGUGUUAAUUCCAAAAAUCCCUGAUCCUUUGAAUAUUACCCAUUUUAGGCCAAUCAGUUUAUGUAAUGUGCUUUAUAAAUUGUUGGCUAAAGUUAUUGCCAAUCGUCUUUGUCUUGUGAUAAAUAGAUGUAUUGAUUUAGCUCAAAGUGCUUUUGUACCAGGGAGACUGAUUAGUGACAAUAUUUUAUUAGCUUGUGAAAUUCUUCACACUCUGAAGAAUAAAAGGGUAGGGAAAAGAGGACUUAUGGCGGUGAAGUUAGAUAUGAGUAAAGCAUAUGACAAGGUUGAAUGGAGUUUUGUUGAAAAAAUAAUGAAAAAAUUAGGGUUUGAUUCAGAGUGGGUUGACAUGCUAAUGAAAUGCGUUACUACAGAUCAUAUUCAGUAGUUUUUAAUGGUGUUAUUGGAGAAAAAAUUUUCCCGUCUAGAGGCCUCAGACAAGGAGACCCUUUGAGCCCAUUUCUAUUUCUAUUCUGUGGAGAGGAACUAUCUAGUCUUUUAAGGCUAGCAACAGAAGGAAAUUUAAUCCGAG
rnacentral:lncRNA from 1 species